GAUGAAGAACGCAGCGAAAUGCGAUAAGUAAUGCGAAUUGCAGAAUUCAGUGAGUCAUCGAAUCUUUGAACGCACAUUGCGCCCUGUGGUAUUCCGCAGGGCAUGCCUGUUCGAGCGUCAUUUCAACCCUCAAGCUCUGCUUGGUGUUGGGCCCUGCCCGCUGCGGCCGGCCCUAAAGACAGUGGCGGUGCCGCCUGGCCCUGAGCGUAGUACAUCUCUCGCUCCAGUGCCCGGUGGUAGCCUGCCAGAACCCCAACUCUCGUGGUUGACCUCGGAUCAGGUAGGGAUACCCGCUGAACUUAAGCAUAUCAAUAAGCGGAGGGA
rnacentral:misc_RNA from 1 species